rnacentral:lncRNA from 1 species
CUGAACACAUUAUACAAUUUCCAUUUACAUAAUCUUUCAUUCUCCUUUUCCCUCAGUCAGCAUUAUCAAUCACAUACAAACAAGCAAAACGAUAAUUUAUGCCAAACAGACAACAUACAGCAUCAAUAUCCCGGUCAUUGAAUCCAUAAUCAAUAAAACAGUAAAAUAUGCACACGAAACUAUAAAAUGAAAACAUCGAACCUCAUGCUGCAUUUAAAAUUGUAAAACAGGCCAAAUAACAGUUAACCGACAAACACACUAGACUCGGGCUCCAUUAGCGACCUUAAGCAAUUUCACACAUUCGUUGAUUCAUGAAAUACCGUUUUAUCAUUUAUUGAACUUUAAAACCGUGAUAGGAAAUAAGGUGAGGGGUCCUUACUCGUUUUGGGGUCUCAACACGGCUUCACAGUGCGCUUGCAGGCUGUCCCUAAUUUUUUCUGAAUUUUCCCGGGGAACUGAAACGCACUACUGGUACCUGCAGGUGUUCCAAAAAAUCCUAAAUUAGGCCCAGGGC